GUAGGAAAUAAAAUGAAAUUGAUGAUUUGACGAAAAUUAAGAGAUUACGAUGAUAGAAGAGAAACCAAAAACACAUGAAGCGCCAGUUAUCCUAGAUAUAAAGUGAACGGUAAUCAACACCGUGUAAGUUGUAAAAGAAAUUUUUAAUGACCUCUCAGCCACCGUAACGUUAUGUCAACGUUACUUAAGUGCAAAAGGAGAUAUUUCGAAACACUCUUUACAGACAUCCUAUUACACCGCUCUCAUUAUCGUCUUAGGUAGGUACGUUAAAUCUUUUAGAGACUUUCUCGUAGAAUUUUCUGAGAAAGCGAACCAACGACUCAUAAUAUAAGGCAGAAAAUGUCCGUGGAAAAUGAACGUUGAUUAAUCAACGGUUUGAUCGUGAGCGUGAAAACGUUGAAUCUCGGUCGCGGCGUAUACAUAUAUAUACGUAGUUUACGGUUCAACCCCCCCUCGCCUGUACGCUUUUACCAAUCUAGUUACGAACCUGGCGAGAAGUUGAAAAAGUUUUUUGCCUCUAUCUCGGUGCGCAGCGUGCGACGUCGGUCCCCGGGAGCGAGUAAACGUGUAGGAUAUCUAUAUCUAGGCCCGGGUACGGGUUAAGCCUCCAGUAUUAAGACACGAUGUAAGAAGGCGCGGAUACGGUGCGCCCGGCGGUCGGUGAUCUAUGGCGGGAUUACCGGCAGCGGUAUUUCUUCAUAACCGUUUCUCCUUCUCCUUCUCUUUCUACCGCUCCUUAUUCCCUCGGUUUCACCUUCUCCUUCGUCUCCUCGCCCCGUUCGCUUCGCUCCUGUAUCUCCCCGCCGCCCCCAUAUACCAUCCCGCUUUGCGGGGGGGUUGUAUCUUAAUAACAUUCAUGAGCUCAGAUAUACUUGCUAGAUUUAUUGCCGCUGCUCCAAGAGCAAACCUCUAUCCCUCUCCGGCCCCGGGGCGCCUCCGACGUCCCGAACGCGCGACCAUUCUGGACCAAAGAUUCGCGCAACGAAACGGCGACGCGCGUCAAUCCACGGAUAUCACGAAAUGCGGGAGUCGUCGCAGUGGUCGUCGAACAUCUCGACAAUUUUUUGGAUCACCGUUCGGUCGCUCGAACGCGAACGUGAAGAAAUUCGGUUUACAAUAUUAACCGAUAAGGCUGUGGACGGAAGAAAGCAAAGGUUUUAUCUGUUAUCAAUUGAGUUUCUCCCCACCGUAUUAUAAUAGCCAGCGUUUUCCCCAGCCAUCCGGGGGUUUCCAGCAGCAGUUUUCCCGCGACUGGUACGUCGACGACCCGCGCUUCGAUAUUUAUGGCCUUCUGUAUAUUACAUAUCAGUGCUGACUUCUUUUUACUCCCUUUGUACCGCGCGCAUAUUUUCCAACGGAGAUUCCUUCCUGCCACGAGGACGAAAAGUAAAUUAAGCCGCCUCGCGCGAAUAUUCCAACCCCCCGGUAAAAUGUAGGGCAGUUGUUCAUAAAACGCGUGAAAAACCGCAUCGGGUACAACGGACAAGCUAUAGAGAAAACUGGAGAAGAAGAAUAAUCGUGAAACUAAUCGCUGUCCGACAUCCCCUCGCACCCCGCGCAAGGGCCUCAACCCUACGACGAAGCGUAACGCGUGUAUAGGUUUAGGAGUCUCGCUCGCUUCUUUGCUUACGCCCCGAAGAAGUCACCCCCCCCGCGGGGGUUUGGAUGCGACAUAGCGCGGCGAGCGUCGAGGGGGUGGAAGAAAACCAGAGGAACAUACGAAGGUACGAACGUCGUCGCCGCCGUGUUGGUGAGAGCCGAGAUGCGCGGGUGUUGGCGUAAGCUGCUCGCGCGCCGCGCAAGGCAAUACAGAUUUAUGUAAUAUUUCAUAAUCAGCGAGAGGAUUUCACCGAAACCACGCUCACAGCCGUGAAUCGCGUGUAGAGAUCAUUAGGCGUCGGCAAUAAACUAAUCAAAGUGAUAAGAAAAAAUGU